ACACCAUUCGGACCGUCGGUCUAGCGAGCAAUAUCACGCGCUCGCUGGAAGAUAUUUCCUUUGUCGU
rnacentral:pre_miRNA from 1 species